GUCUCACCCAAGAUAUUUUUAAUUUAAAUAAAAAAAAUUAUGUUAACUAAAAUAGAAUUUAUAUAUUAGAAAUCUAAUCCCUAAUAUACCACUAAUGGAUUGUAGCCGCAGACCCUCACCCUCACUCUCGAUCUCUCCGUCGACGCACCCCUCACCCUCGAUCUCUCUGUCGCCGCACCCUCACCCUCCCUCUCGAUCUCUCCGUCGCCGCCUCUACCUCAGCCAGCCGAUUGUAGCCGCACCGCCACCGUCGCCGACCGAAUAGCACAGGCAGAAGGGACGAUUCGCACGGAGCGAAGAGCACAGGCCGAAGUAAGGAGACUUUACCAGGUGGAGUUUCAGUCAAUAAAAAGAGAGUUGAAAAAGGGCUUUCACAACUAAAGCUUAAAACAAUGGCCAUGAGUACUUAUCCCCAAAAAAAUCAGAGCUCUAUCUCGCUGUUCUCCUGACUCCGCUACUCUCUCCAUUUCGCUGUCAUCUCUUGGUUUUCCGAGGUACUCUUGCUCGUCUUUGGUGUGCGUGGCGUCGUCUCCGGUGGUGGCUGUUCUCUCUUCUUGUUAAAGGUUAAUAUUUUGAUUGGUCUUAAAGCAUUGGAUUGGUAGCUAAUUGCAAGAGUUCACCUUCGACAAGCCAUAUACUACUCAAGAAAUUAAUGAAGUUAGAGAAGAAUGGGCAAUGUUAUUUUUACAUUUGGUUAGAGCAAAAUGAAUGAUGUUAUAGCUAGCUAAUUACAAUACAUGUUUAGAAAUUUUAAAUUUAUUUCGUAAAUU